GGCGCAGUGGUAGCGCACUUCCCUGACACGGAAGGGGUCACAAGUUCGAACCUUGUAUCGCCCA
rnacentral:tRNA from 1 species